UGGCUCUCGCAUCGAUGAAGAACGCAGCGAAAUGCGAUAAGUAAUGUGAAUUGCAGAAUUCAGUGAAUCAUCGAAUCUUUGAACGCACCUUGCGCUCCUUGGUAUUCCGAGGAGCAUGCCUGUUUGAGUGUCAUGUAAUUAUCAACUCCCUUUCUUUGCUGAAAGGUGAGCUUGGAUUUGGGGACUUGCUGGUGAUUUCAUCAGCUUCCCUUGAAUGCAUUAGCUGGUCAUUGAUUUGCAGCAUAUAUGCGGUGUGAUAAUGUCGUCACUGUGUAGCUCAAGUCAUCUGGCUUCUAAUUGUCUUUGCGGACACUUUGAUCAAUUUGACCUCAAAUCAGGUAGGACUACCCGCUGA
rnacentral:misc_RNA from 1 species